GAAGUUUGGGGUUGCUGUUGGUAUAGCAACCUUUAAGUUUGGGGUAGCUUUGCAGUAAGUGAAUAGUAAGUGAAUGUAGUAUAAAAAAAAUAAAAAAAAAAUAAAAAAAACGAAAAGAAAGAAAGAGAAAAGCGAAAAACAAUAAAAGAACAGCUUUUGAAAAAUGCUACAUUCACUAUAGAUAAAAGGAAAAGAGGAAUACAAAACCCAACAGGAAUAAUAGGAAAGAAACGUAGUGAGAGAAUGAUUUCAUGUACUCUGAACCAAAAACCUUUGUUCCAAUUUCAUACCCUACCUAAACCAAAGCC
rnacentral:lncRNA from 1 species